GGGGGAAUAUUGCACAAUGGGCGAAAGCCUGAUGCAGCCAUGCCGCGUGAGUGAUGACGGCCUUCGGGUUGUAAAGCUCUUUUAACAGGGAAGAUAAUGACGGUACCUGUAGAAUAAGCCCCGGCUAACUUCGUGCCAGCAGCCGCGGUAAUACGAAGGGGGCUAGCGUUGUUCGGAAUUACUGGGCGUAAAGAGUACGUAGGCGGAUUGCCAAGUCAGAUGUGAAAUCCCGGGGCUCAACCCCGGAACUGCAUUUGGAACUGGCAGUCUAGAGAAAGUUAGAGGCAAGUGGAAUUUCUUGUGUAGGGGUGAAAUCCGUAGAUAUAAGAAGGAAUAUCAAUAGCGAAGGC
rnacentral:rRNA from 1 species